GUCAGAGUUUGAUCCUGGGCUCGGAACGAACGCUGGCGGCGUGUUUAAGACAUGCAAGUCGCACGGGAUAAGACAUGUAGCAAUACCUGUUUUAUUUAGUGGCGCACGGGUGAGUAACACGUGAAUAACAUGCCCUAUAGAGGGGAAUAGCCCAGGGAAACUUGGAUUAAUACCCCAUGGUCUCGUAAGAGUAAAGGUGGCCCCGACUUGUCGGGGCUGUCGCUAUAGGAUUGGUUCGCGCCCUAUCAGCUUGUUGGUGAGGUAACGGCUCACCAAGGCAAUGACGGGUACCUGGUCUGAGAGGACGAUCAGGCACACUGGAACUGAGACACGGUCCAGACACCUACGGGUGCAGCAGUCGAGAAUCAUUCACAAGUGGGGGCAACCC
rnacentral:rRNA from 1 species